UCGGGAAUUUUGGGCAAUGGGCGAAAGCCUGAUCCAGCAAUGCCGCGUGAGUGAUGAAGGCCUUAGGGUUGUAAAGCUCUUUUACCAGGGAUGAUAAUGACAGUACCUGGAGAAUAAGCUCCGGCUAACUCCGUGCCAGCAGCCGCGGUAAUACGGAGGGAGCUAGCGUUGUUCGGAAUUACUGGGCGUAAAGCGUACGUAGGCGGUUAUUCAAGUCAGAGGUGAAAGCCCGGGGCUCAACCCCGGAACGGCCUUUGAAACUAGAUAGCUAGAAUCUUGGAGAGGUCAGUGGAAUUCCGAGUGUAGAGGUGAAAUUCGUAGAUAUUCGGAAGAACACCAGUGGCGAAGGCGACUGACUGGACAAGUAUUGACGCUGAGGUACGAAAGCGUGGGGAGCAAACAGGAUUAGAUACCCAGGUAGUCCCUGAGCGGGCUGGCAAGGCGCAU
rnacentral:rRNA from 1 species